rnacentral:rRNA from 1 species
UACAGAGGUCCCAAGCGUUAUUCGGAUUCACUGGGCGUAAAGGGUGCGCAGGCGGUCGGGUGUGUCAGAUGUGAAAUCCCGAGGCUCAACCUCGGAACUGCGUCUGAAACUACUCGACUAGAGUACUGGAGAGGGUAACGGAAUUCACGGUGUAGCAGUGAAAUGCGUAGAUAUCGUGAGGAACACCAGAGGCGAAGGCGGUUACCUGGACAGUUACUGACGCUCAGGCACGAAAGCAUGGGGAGCAAAAGGG